rnacentral:rRNA from 1 species
GACGAACGCUGGCGGCGUGCCUAAUACAUGCCAGUAGAACGCUGAAGAGAGGAGCUUGCUCUUCUUGGAUGAGUUGCGAACGGGUGAGUAACGCGUAGGUAACCUGCCUUGUAGCGGGGGAUAACUAUUGGAAACGAUAGCUAAUACCGCAUAACAAUGGAUGACACAUGUCAUUUAUUUGAAAGGGGCAAUUGCUCCACUACAAGAUGGACCUGCGUUGUAUUAGCUAGUAGGUGAGGUAAUGGCUCACCUAGGCGACGAUACAUAGCCGACCUGAGAGGGUGAUCGGCCACACUGGGACUGAGACACGGCCCAGACUCCUACGGGAGGCAGCAGUAGGGAAUCUUCGGCAAUGGGGGGAACCCUGACCGAGCAACGCCGCGUGAGUGAAGAAGGUUUUCGGAUCGUAAAGCUCUGUUGUAAGUCAAGAACGGGUGUGAGAGUGGAAAGUUCACACUGUGACGGUAGCUUACCAGAAAGGGACGGCUAACUACGUG